rfam:Myotis davidii contig229125, whole genome shotgun sequence.
GGCAGUUCUCGGGUGACGCACCCCAGAAUCAAGCUCCCUCCUCUCUAGUUCUGGGUGCAUCACUGGAGAACCACU